rnacentral:rRNA from 1 species
AAUAUUGGACAAUGGGGGAAACCCUGAUCCAGCCAUCCCGCGUGUAUGAUGAAGGCCUUCGGGUUGUAAAGUACUUUUGGCAGGGAAGAAAAGGUAUCUCCUAAUACGAGAUACUGCUGACGGUAUCUGCAGAAUAAGCACCGGCUCACUACGUUCCAGCAGCCGCGGUAAUACGUAGGGUGCAAGCGUUAAUCGGAAUUACUGGGCGUAAAGCGUGUGUAGGCGGUUCGGAAAGAAAGAUGUGAAAUCCCAGGGCUUAACCUUGGAAUUGCAUUCUUAACUGCCAGGCUAGAGUAUGUCAGAGGGGGGUAGAAUUCCACGUGUAGCAGUGAAAUGCGUAGAGAUGUGGAGGAAUACCGAUGGCGAAGGCAGCCCCCUGGGAUAAUACUGACGCUCAUGCACGAAAGCGUGGGGAGCAAACA